AACCUGGUGGUGCAGAAAGAAAAAGUACACAGGAGGCCAACACAAAUAAUGAAGAUGUAGAGAUUGAAAAAUGUAGGGUACACGAAGGAGACCGACCCAAUACAAAGGAGGGUGAGAAUAUUAAAAGUGGUGGUGCAGGUAGUUAACGAAAUCAGAUUUAAACCCAACCCCAAAAUAACUCUCAUAACAUGAAAACCUUAAAGACGGUUUCUUCCUCCUCUACGUUGACGACCCAUGGCAUUAACCCUCACCCACUCAUGGCUGGCCAAUGCCAACGCCGACCACCGACGAAGCCAGCUAAGGGCACCGACGACGACGUCGAUCACCAACAAAAGUUUCACCGGUAGCAAACACGUUUAGUUCCUCCUUCUUCUUGCGUUCUAACGCGCACGAGAGUGGCCACUAUGUGUUCUUCGAUUGAAGCUCCAAGCCGUCGGCGAUUGUUUCUCCUCUGCACUAUGUUUUCCUUUUAUGUUAGAAUAUAAGUCAAAAGCUUUCUAUUUUAGUUUGUUAAAAGGUCUCUAUAAUCAGUUACAAUUGUAAGACUUCUUUCCAUUUUAAACUUUCAUCCUGUUUUUGGCUUAUGCUGUAUAAGAGGCUGCUUUAGCCAGUCUAUUAAAUAACAUAGUGGACAGUACGUAUCAAA